GGUGAGACGUGACAAUUGGAUCUGACCUUUGGAAACUUUCCCUGAAUCCCCAGAUGACACCACUUUAGAUAACUACCUUGUGACCUCACCACCAUGCCCCUCAUUUCAUAAAAGCUGUGAUUAAGGUCCGGAUAGUUUCAGAGAAGAGCUGAAGAGAAUAUCCACAGAGAAUAGCUGCGGAGAAUAGCUGUGUAGUGCUCUGGAUCGUCUAUCUACCCACUUACCUGCCCAGUUGCCCCUGUCACUCCAGACAUAGCCUCCAAAAAACUAUUUGUCUACUGGAUAACAAGUUCCCCAGAAUAGAAGCUUGGACACAGGCAAAGCAUUCUGUCGUGUUCACUCACCUUGAUCUGAAUACUACAUUGGGGCCACCACCGUCGGUGAAGCUUACCUACAUAUGAGGCAAGCUUGUGAUGGAAGGGAACAAAGGAGGGAAGGCAUUUCCCAGAACUGGAUUUGGUAUAAUUUUGAUGUUUAAGUGCUCCCUUCUCUCAGAAUCUGUAAUGAUUACCCUGAAUUUUAGUAGCAACAUUGAGAAAAAUAUACACUUUUUAUAAUGAAGUUUAUCUAAAGAGAUGGACAGAACUCUGAAUUUUGAGGUAAUUCCCAAGAUUCCUACCCACUAGGGUACAUACUUUAUAUUAAAGAAUGGGUAGGACUGUGAAUAUGAUGGAUUUCACAGCUGUGAUUAGAUUAUAAAGGUGAAGGAAUUUAAAGAUGUAAUUAAAAUCUGAAAUGAGUUGACUUAGUUAAUAAAAAGGGAGAUUAUCCUGGGUGGGCCUGAUCUGAUUCUGUGAGCUCUUAAAAGGGACUGGGUCCUUCCUGAAGAAAAAUUUGAAGCAGCAGCCACAAUUUUCUGUUAGCCUUUAAAAAACAAACUGUAAAGCUAUGGAGAAAGCCUGUGGCAAGGAACAGCAGGCAGUCCUACAACCCCAAGGAACUGAAUUCUACAGUGAGCUGAGUACCUGAAACUAAGAUAAGAUAGUGCCUCUGGCUGACACCUUGAUUUUAGCCCAGUCAAACCCUAAGAUAAGGAACCAGUUAACUUGUGCCUUGACUCCUGACUCAUGGAAACUGAGAUCAUAAAUUAUGGGGGAUUUUUCUAAGCCACAAAAUUAUAAUAAUUUGUUAUAGAGGAAUAGAAAACUAACACCAGAAGUAAAACACAUCAUACUGCAUUACUAUUUCAUGAAAGUUAAUAAAGUCAAGUUUCCCUCAUGUGACAUUAUAUACCUUAUAAAUAAAUUGUUAUCAAGAAUAUUUUCUGUACUCUGAAAUAUUUCACUUAAAAAAUAAAGUGACU